rnacentral:piRNA from 1 species
UCCAAAAUGUGCUCCAGAAGCAGGCCAUGGAU